AUACAUGCAAGUCGUANGCACUGGCCCAACUGAUUGAUGGUGCUUGCACCUGAUUGACGAUGGAUCACCAGUGAGUGGCGGACGGGUGAGUAACACGUAGGUAACUCUGCCCCGGAGCGGGGGAUAACAUUUGGAAACAGAUGCUAAUACCGCAUAACAACAAAAGCCACAUGGCUUUUGUUUGAAAGAUGGCUUUGGCUAUCACUCNGGGAUGGACCUGCGGUGCAUUAGCUAGUUGGUAAGGUAACGGCUUACCAAGGCGAUGAUGCUUAGCCGAGUUGAGAGACUGAUCGGCCACAAUGGAACUGAGACACGGUCCAUACUCCUACGGGAGGCAGCAGUAGGGAAUCUUCCACAAUGGGCGCAGCCUGAUGGAGCACACCGCGUGAGUGAAGAAGGGUUUCGGCUCGUAAAGCUCUGUUGUUGGAGAAGAACGUGCGUGAGAGUAACUGUUCACGCAGUGACGGUAUCCAACCAGAAAGUCACGGCUAACUACGUGCCAGCAGCCGCGGUAAUACGUAGGUGGCAAGCGNNAUCCGGAUUUAUUGGGCGUAAAGCGAGCGCAGG
rnacentral:rRNA from 1 species